CCAGGAGAGUAGAAACAAAGGUCAACCCUUCACUUGUAUCGUGUAUUCCAUACUCAUCCCUUGGGUGGCUACGGUGGCACGUUCCCUCGAUGUUGCGUCGGUUCAUCUUUGGAUUCAACCGGCUGUCGUUUUCGCAUUGUAUUACUAUUACAACAACGGAUAUUACGACGAAAUUCAAAGGAUUGCCUCUGGGGAUGAUCCUAGUUCAACGAGUAUUAAAUUACCUGGGCUUCCAUUGUUGAGUGCUCGUGAUCUUCCAUCAUUUUUUGGUGCUUCAGAUGGUUAUUCUUUUGCACUCCCAAUGUUUAGGAAGCAAUUUGAAUUACUA
rnacentral:lncRNA from 1 species